UACGUAGGGUGCGAGCGUUAAUCGGAAUUACUGGGCGUAAAGCGUGCGCAGGCGGCCCUUUAAGUCAGGUGUGAAAGCCCUGGGCUUAACCUAGGAAUGGCGCUUGAAACUGGGGGGCUAGAGUGCGGCAGAGGGGGGUGGAAUUCCUGGUGUAGCGGUGAAAUGCGUAGAGAUCAGGAGGAACACCGAUGGCGAAGGCAGCCCCCUGGGUCGACACUGACGCUCAGGCACGAAAGCGUGGGGAGCAAAC
rnacentral:rRNA from 1 species